AACGAACGCUGGCGGCAGGCUUAACACAUGCAAGUCGAACGGGUGUAGCAAUACAUCAGCGGCAGACGGGUGAGUAACACGUGGGAACCUUCCUAGGGGUACGGAACAACUCAGGGAAACUUGAGCUAAUACCGUAUACGUCCGUGAGGAGAAAGAUUUAUCGCCCUUAGACGGGCCCGCGUCGGAUUAGCUAGUUGGUGGGGUAACGGCCUACCAAGGCGACGAUCCGUAGCUGAUCUUAGAGGAUGAUCAGCCACACUGGGACUGAGACACGGCCCAGACUCCUACGGGAGGCAGCAGUGGGGAAUCUUGGACAAUGGGCGCAAGCCUGAUCCAGCCAUGCCGCGUGAGUGAAGAAGGUCUUCGGAUUGUAAAGCUCUUUUGCCAGGGACGAUAAUGACGGUACCUGGAGAAUAAGCCCCGGCAAACUUCGUGCCAGUCGCCGCCGUAA
rnacentral:rRNA from 1 species